CCUUACGACCCUUCUUUCCUUUCUUCUGUUUAUAAUUUCUGCCCUCUCUUGACUUCUGCUGCUUUUUGCUUCUAUUAACAGUGUGAGACACUAUUGUUGGAGGCGGAUCAUACACGUCAGGGGCCCACUUCACAGACAGCUUCCUUGGUGAUGCACCUUGUCUCUCGCGGCUACCUUUCAUAGCAGACACAAGCUUCAAAGGAGUCUGAGAGAGAAAAGCAUGGACGGAGGUGAAAUUAGAGAAGCCAAACUAACAAACGAAGUAAACAAAUAUAACAAAUAAGCCUGAAAUCAUUUCUUUAGUAGUAUUAAACGGCUAAACAAGUCCCAAACCACUAUAGGCUCCAGCAGUGCACAUAAAAGAUGGUUUCAUCACCUGUGUUGAAUAACAACAGUCAAAAGCUAGUUCAAACUAAUUUCAAUGCUGAAAGCCAAAAAUGUAAGUAAUUGCAUGCUGAAUUACUUGCACUAAGGUGCAUGAACCAACAGAGGCAGACGCGUUAUCUGUCCUGAAAUGAGGAGGUAAUUUCAUGCUUCCACAUAGUAGCUCCAAAACACACUCUAAAAAAUGAAUAUGACAACCAUUAAAGACACAUUUAAGAUAUCACCAUGAAUCCUAAAAAAAUGAGGAAACAGGAUUAGCUCAUGGUAAUCACAAGCAAUCCAAUAAUCAUAAGGAGACACACCAUAAAAGGUCACAACUAUGAUCCAUUUCAAAAAGCAGGGUCAAAGUAAACCACAAGACCGCAAGUAAGCAAACCACAAGCAGACAUGUCAAACCUCUUUAAUCACCAACAGACAUAGGAGAAAUAAUCUUGACAGUCUAGUCUCUUAAUCCAGACUGGACACUUUUGGACAGAAGUAAUCUGAAUACCCCAUGCAUUAAAAGAUGAAACUAAAACAGCAGCUCAACAAUAUAAACACCCACAAACCAUCAUAUAUCACAAGAUGACUCACAGGCAAAGAUAAUGAGCGAGAACAGCGCGAGGGCACAGGGUCAUCAGAAAACAUUUGCUCGAAGGCUGUCUUAAGUUCAUCAUCUUCAUCUUGCUCAUUCACAUUAGCAGAAGGUGAUAUCUUAGCAGUGGGCGGGAAUGUAGCAUACUUGCACAAGCUCUUCUGACCAGGUCCAUCGUCCUCUAAUUUAAGGUCUUCAAAUCCUUCCUCCACAUGACUCACCACACCCCCAUCAGAUGUAUUACAUUCACUCGAAUCCUUA
rnacentral:lncRNA from 1 species